GACGAACGCUGGCGGCGUGCUUAACACAUGCAAGUCGAACGGGAAGUCCCUGCUUUUGUGGGGUGCUCGAGUGGCGAACGGGUGAGUAACACGUGAGUAACCUGCCCUUGACUUUGGGAUAACUUCAGGAAACUGGGGCUAAUACCGGAUAGGAGCUCCUGCUGCAUGGUGGGGGUUGGAAAGUUUCGGCGGUUGGGGUUGGACUCGCGGCUUAUCAGCUUGUUGGUGGGGUAGUGGCUUACCAAGGCUUUGACGGGUAGCCGGCCUGAGAGGGUGACCGGCUACACUGGGACUGAGAUACGGCCCGGACUCCUCCGCGAGGGAGCAGUGCAGUAUAUUGCACAAUGGGCUGAAGCCUGACGCAGCCCAGCCGCGUGCGGGAUGACGGCAUUCGGGUUGUAUACCGAUUUCGCCUGUGACGAAGCGUGAGUGACGGUAAUGGGUAAAGAAGCACCGGCUAACUCCGUG
rnacentral:rRNA from 1 species